rnacentral:rRNA from 1 species
UCGGGAAUUUUGGGCAAUGGGCGAAAGCCUGACCCAGCAACGCCGCGUGAAGGAUGAAGUAUUUCGGUAUGUAAACUUCGAAAGAAUAGGAAGAAUAAAUGACGGUACUAUUUGUAAGGUCCGGCUAACUACGUGCCAGCAGCCGCGGUAAUACGUAGGGACCAAGCGUUGUUCGGAUUUACUGGGCGUAAAGGGUGCGUAGGCGGCAUAUCAAGUCACUUGUGAAAUCUCCGGGCUUAACUCGGAACUGCCAAGUGAUACUGAUGUGCUAGAGUGCAGAAAGGGCAACUGGAAUUCUUGGUGUAGCGGUGAAAUGCGUAGAUAUCAAGAGGAACACCUGAGGCGAAGGCGAGUUGCUAGGCUGACACUGACGCUGAGGUACGAAAGCUAGGGGAGCGAACGGGAUUAGAUACCCACGUAGUCCCUGAGCGGGCUGGCAAGGCGCAU